rnacentral:rRNA from 1 species
CCUGCUCACUGAUAAAAUUAUUAAAUAGCCGCGGUAUCUUGACCGUGCAAAGGUAGCAUAAUCAUUAGUUUUUUAAUUGGAAACUAGCAUGAAUGGUUGGACAAAGAAAAAGCUGUCUCUUUCAUUAAAAUUGAAUUUAACUUCUAAGUGAAAAGGCUUAGAUAUCUUAGAGGGACGAUAAGACCCUAUAAAGCUUUAUAAAUUCAAAGAUUUUAUAUAUUUUUUUUAAUAAUGAUAAUUUUUCAAAAAUUUAUUGGGUUGGGGCAACAGAAGUAUAAUUAUCAAUAACUGCUAUAAAGUAUUACAAUUAUUUUUGUUAUUAGAGAGUUGUUGAUCCUCGAAAGGGAUUAAAAGAUCAAGUUACUUUAGGGAUAACAGCGUAAUUUAUCUUGAGAGUUCUUAUCAAAGGAUAAGUUUGCGACCUCGAUGUUGAAUUAAAAUGUCUUUAUAGUGCAGCAGCUAUACAAGAAGGUCUGUUCGACCUUUAAUUUUUUACGUGAUCU